rnacentral:rRNA from 1 species
GUCAGCAGCCAUAUCACCCUGCAACUCACAAUUGGCAACUGACUAAAGCUAAGCAAGUGUGAGCCUGUACUUGGAUGGGAGACCUCCUGGGAAAAACUAAGGUUGCUGCUGGAA